AUUGAACGCUGGCGGCAGGCCUAACACAUGCAAGUCGAACGAGUGGGGGCCGGGUGAGUAAUGUCUGGGAAACUGCAUGUGGGAGGGGGAUAACUACUGGAAACGGUAGAUAAUACCGCAUAACAUCAGUUGUGCCCAGAUGGGAUUCGCUUGUUGGUGGGGUAACGGCUCACCAAGGCGACGAUCCCUAGCUGGUCUGAGAGGAUGACCAGCCACACUGGAACUGAGACACGGUCCAGACUCCUACGGUAGGCAGCAGUGGGGAAUAUUGCACAAUGGGCGCAAGCCUGAUGCAGCCAUGCCGCGUGUAUGAAGAAGGCCUUCGGGUUGUAAAGUACUUUCAGCGGGGAGGCGUUACCCGCAGAAGAAGCACCGGCUAACUCCGUGCCAGCCGCCGCGGUAAUAC
rnacentral:rRNA from 1 species